GACGAACGCUGGCGGCGUGCUUAACACAUGCAAGUCGAACGGAAAGGCCCUGCUUUUGUGGGGUGCUCGAGUGGCGAACGGGUGAGUAACACGUGAGUAACCUGCCCUUGACUUUGGGAUAACUUCAGGAAACUGGGGCUAAUACCGGAUAGGAGCUCCUGCUGCAUGGUGGGGGUUGGAAAGUUUCGGCGGUUGGGGAUGGACUCGCGGCUUAUCAGCUUGUUGGUGGGGUAGUGGCUUACCAAGGCUUUGACGGGUAGCCGGCCUGAGAGGGUGACCGGCCACAUUAGGACUGAGAUACGGCCCAGACUCCUACGGGAGGCAGCAGUGGGGAAUAUUGCACUAUGGGCGGAAGCCUGAUGCAGCAACGCCGCGUGCGGGAUGACGGCCUUCGGGUUGUAAACCGCUUUCGCCUGUGACGAAGCGUGAGUGACGGUAAUGGGUAAAGAAGCACCGGCUAACUACGUG
rnacentral:rRNA from 1 species